GCUAUGGUAGAAGACCUUUCAGACUUCCCCUGACAUCUUCCCACCUGAAAAGGGCCCCCUCCUUCUGCUUCCGACUCAAGGUCUUCUCUUAAAGCCCAGGAGCCGCUAGGUUCACAAACAAGUACAAAGUACAGCAAGGAUGGGGAAGAUUUCUGUGGUGGACACUGAGAUGCCCCAUCCUGACCCCCUUCUGUGAAGGGCUUAUUGCCUCAGCUCUGCUAUCCACGGGCAACAUCCAGCUGUCAGUUCUCUCCGGACUUGUCCCAGCCGCAGAGCCACCUCACCCAAAGCCACACCCCAGGCCACACCUCUUCUGGAAGGCCCCGUCUCGGGCAACUUAUCAACCAAACAGGAAUAAAGGCUCAACAUCUCACCCUAACUGUCUCAGAGUCAGCUUCCUAGGAAACCCAUCCUAUGACAGCUGUUACCAGGAGGCUUUCAAUAAAAGAGCAACCAAAAUGAA